AUGGUGUGCGAACGACAUCCCGCAAAUCCAAUAACUUCGAAUUGGAAACAGAAACAAAGAAGAUAAUGAAAGGAAUGCCAGAGAAGUAUCGAAAACGAUGUGUGACUGAAAAGUUGAUAUCGAAUGAAUGUGAAACUGACAGCACCUCAGACCAUCCUGGCACUUCCGCGGACAGUGAGUAGAGUAUGUUAAAGAGCUCUUGAACGACAGUGAGAGAGAAUCAACUCCCAUUGGUCGGCAACAAUUGAGAAUAACCGUAUAAUUCAAGAAUUCAACCUGGAGUACUCGGAGAAACCCUCCAAUUUUAAAGUGUUAAUCAAGAUUAACAAAGAGGGACAAUUUCAGUCUCAAUCAAGACACUUUGCAAUAAAGCUCAACCUGGAUGGAAUAAUCUUGAAGAGACG